rnacentral:rRNA from 1 species
CAGCAGCCACGGUAAUACGAAGGGUGCAAGCGUUACUCGGAAUUACUGGGCGUAAAGCGUGCGUAGGUGGUGGUUUAAGUCCGUUGUGAAAGCCCUGGGCUCAACCUGGCAAUUGCAGUGGAUACUGGGUCACUAGAGUGUGGUAGAGGAUAGUGGAAUUUCCGGUGUAGCAGUGAAAUGCGUAGAGAUCGGAAGGAACAUCUGUGGCGAAGGCGACUAUCUGGGCCAACACUGACACUGAGGCACGAAAGCGUGGGGAGCAAACAGGAUUAGAUACCCCUGUAGUCCCUGUCUCUUAUAC